rnacentral:rRNA from 1 species
UAAUACGUAGGGGGCAAGCGUUAUCCGGAAUUAUUGGGCGUAAAGAGUGCGUAGGUGGUUUUGUAAGCGCAGGGUGAAAGGCAAUAGCUCAACUAUUGUAAGCCUUGCGAACUGUGAGACUUGAGUGCAGGAGAGGAAAGUGGAAUUCCUAGUGUAGCGGUGAAAUGCGUAGAUAUUAGGAGGAACACCAGUGGCGAAGGCGACUUUCUGGACUGUUACUGACACUGAGGCACGAAAGCGUGGGGAGCAAACAGGAUUAGAUACCCUGGUAGUCCACGCCGUAAACGAUGAGCACUAGGUGUCGGGGUCGCAAGACUUCGGUGCCGCAGUUAACGCAUUAAGUGCUCCGCCUGGGGAGUACGCACGCAAGUGUGAAACUCAAAUGAAUUGACGG